rnacentral:rRNA from 1 species
AACUCUUCUUUCUUCUAGCUCGCUCGCUCUUUAGGGGUUAGGGGUGGUUUGGGAUUGGGUUUGGGAUUGGGACUAACUUUGCUGGUCCUCUCCUCUCCUCUCCUCGCCUAGGCCGCUACCGGCAGCUCUUCUACGUGAACAGGUACGGCAACGGGCGGCCGAACCUCCCAAAGGGGAAGUGGUGCAAGGUCCGCCUCGACCUCCGGAAGUGGCAGUUCAACUCCCGCCUCCGCUUCUUCCGGUUCCGGUUCGGCCUCCAGUUCCUCCGGUUCCGGUUCCUCCUCUUCCGGUUCGGCCUCCAGUUCCGGUUCCACUUCUUCCGGUUCCGCUUCCUCCGGUUCGGCCUCCAGCUCCGGUUCCGUUUCCUCCGGUUCCGUUUCCUCCGGUUCCGCUUCCUCCGGUUCGGCCUCCAGCUCCGGUUCAGUUUCCUCCAGUUCCGGUUCCACCUCAACUCCUGGGAGUGGUUCCUCCUCCUCCUCCGCGAGUAGUUCAAGCACCGCGACGACCUCUUCCUCCUCCUGAAGGAGCUGCGGUUCCGCCUCCGCCUCUUCCUCCGCCUCUUCACACCGAGGUUCUCCUUCCACCUCAACCUCGCCCUACUCCUCCCCCGUCGCAAGGACCGCACCUAGCUCAGGUGGUUCGGUGUCUGCCUGGUUCACCUAAUGAGCCUACCCCUACACAGCCUGCCGAUGGUGAGCGUCCUGCUGUUGUAGCCGUCGCUGCCGUCCCAGUACAGCGCCAUACUCGCGGUACAAGUCCGGUUGUUGCGAGCGACAGGAAAGAACCACCCCCGGAUUAGGGUAGGUGCUGCCACGAGAACGAGAACACCAGACUCUUCGACUGCUCCUCGAAGCGGUAACGAUAGGGUAGAUCAUGGUUGGUACAUAGAUAGAAUAGAUAGAUAUAAAGAUCAACUAGGACACCUGUAUAUAUACACCCUAACUAGGCGGAUGGGACUACGAUAACAACGCGUGGCUACUUCGUUACAGUAACACUCUGACUAUUAGAUAGCUCAUGAUCAUCAUAGAUCAUAUACAAUUUAGAUGACCACAAUACGGGAAGCAUACACUACUACGUUACAGAGACUACUACGGUUACACUA